GACGAACGCUGGCGGCGUGCUUAACACAUGCAAGUCGAACGGAAAGGCCCUGCUUGCAGGGUCCUCGAGUGGCGAACGGGUGAGUAACACGUGGGUGAUCUGCCCUGCACUUCGGGAUAAGCCUGUGAAACUGGGUCUAUUACCGGAUAGGAGCCAUUUUUAGUCUGAUUGUUGGAUAGUUUUUUCGGUGUAGGAUGAGCGCGCGGCCUAUCAGCUUGUUGGUGGGGUAAUGGCCUACCAAGGCUGCGACGGGUAGCCGGCCUGAGAGGGUGGAAGGCCACAUUGGGACUGAGGUACGGCCCAGACUCCUACGGGAGGCAGCAGUGGGGAAUAGUGCACAAUGGGCGGAAGCCUGAUGCAGCGACGCCGCGUGGGGGAUGACGGCCUUCGGGUUGUAACCACCUUUCGCUAGGGACGAAGCUUUUUGGAACGGAACCUAGAUAAGAAGCACCGGCUAACUACGU
rnacentral:rRNA from 1 species